rnacentral:rRNA from 1 species
GACGAACGCUGGCGGCGUGCCUAACACAUGCAAGUCGAACGGAAGUAAGAGCUUCGGUUUUACUUUAGUGGCGAACGGGUGAGUAACGCGUGAGGAACCUGCCUUUCAGUGGGGGACAACAGUUGGAAACGACUGCUAAUACCGCAUAAUGUUUCCGAUCCGCAUGGAUUGGAAACCAAAGCUUUAUGUGCUGAAAGAUGGACUCGCGUCUGAUUAGCUAGUUGGUGGGGUAACAGCCUACCAAGGCAACGAUCAGUAGCCGGCUUGAGAGAGUGUACGGCCACAUUGGGACUGAGACACGGCCCAG